rnacentral:rRNA from 1 species
UACGUAGGCAGCAAGCGUUGUUCGGAAUUACUGGGCGUAAAGAGUGUGUAGGCGGUGUUCUAAGUUUGGUGUGAAAUCUCCCGGCUUAACUGGGAGGGUGCGCCGAAAACUGGAGUGCUUGAGUAUGGGAGAGGCAAGCGGAAUUCCUGGUGUAGCGGUGAAAUGCGUAGAUAUCAGGAGGAACACCUGUGGUGUAGACAGCUUGCUGGACCAUCACUGACGCUGAGGCACGAAAGCGUGGGUAGCAAACAGG